AGAGUUUGAUCCUGGCUCAGGACGAACGCUGGCGGCGUGCCUAAUACAUGCAAGUCGAACGCUUUUUCUUUCACCGGAGCUUGCUCCACCGAAAGAAAAAGAGUGGCGAACGGGUGAGUAACACGUGGGUAACCUGCCCAUCAGAAGGGGAUAACACUUGGAAACAGGUGCUAAUACCGUAUAACACUAUUUUCCGCAUGGAAGAAAGUUGAAAGGCGCUUUUGCGUCACUGAUGGAUGGACCCGCGGUGCAUUAGCUAGUUGGUGAGGUAACGGCUCACCAAGGCCACGACUGCAUAGCCGACCUGAGAGGGUGAUCGGCCACACUGGGACUGAGACACGGCCCAGACUCCUACGGGAGGCAGCAGUAGGGAAUCUUCGGCAAUGGACGAAAGUCUGACCGAGCAACGCCGCGUGAGUGAAGAAGGUUUUCGGAUCGUAAAACUCUGUUGUUAGAGAAGAACAAGGAUGAGAGUAGAACGUUCAUCCCUUGACGGUAUCUAACCAGAAAGCCACGGCUAACUACGUGCCAGCAGCCGCGGUAAUACGUAGGUGGCAAGCGUUGUCCGGAUUUAUUGGGCGUAAAGCGAGCGCAGGCGGUUUCUUAAGUCUGAUGUGAAAGCCCCGGCUCAACCGGGGAGGGUCAUUGGAAACUGGGAGACUUGAGUGCAGAAGAGGAGAGUGGAAUUCCAUGUGUAGCGGUGAAAUGCGUAGAUAUAUGGAGGAACACCAGUGGCGAAGGCGGCUCUCUGGUCUGUAACUGACGCUGAGGCUCGAAAGCGUGGGGAGCGAACAGGAUUAGAUACCCUGGUAGUCCACGCCGUAAACGAUGAGUGCUAAGUGUUGGAGGGUUUCCGCCCUUCAGUGCUGCAGCAAACGCAUUAAGCACUCCGCCUGGGGAGUA
rnacentral:rRNA from 1 species